rnacentral:rRNA from 1 species
GGCGGCAGGCUUAACACAUGCAAGUCGAGCGGAAACGAUGGGAGCUUGCUCCCAGGCGUCGAGCGGCGGACGGGUGAGUAACACUUAGGAAUCUACCUAGUAGUGGGGGAUAGCUCGGGGAAACUCGAAUUAAUACCGCAUACGACCUACGGGAGAAAGGGGGCAGUUUACUGCUCUCGCUAUUAGAUGAGCCUAAGUCGGAUUAGCUAGAUGGUGGGGUAAAGGCCUACCAUGGCGACGAUCUGUAGCUGGUCUGAGAGGAUGAUCAGCCACACCGGGACUGAGACACGGCCCGGACUCCUACGGGAGGCAGCAGUGGGGAAUAUUGGACAAUGGGGGGAACCCUGAUCCAGCCAUGCCGCGUGUGUGAAGAAGGCCUUUUGGUUGUAAAGCACUUUAAGCAGUGAAGAAGACCUAACGGUUAAUACCCGUUAGCGAUGACAUUAGCUGCAGAAUAAGCACCGGCUAACUCUGUGCCAGCAGCCGCGGUAAUACAGAGGGUGCAAGCGUUAAUCGGAAUUACUGGGCGUAAAGCGAGCGUAGGUGGCUUGAUAAGUCAGAUGUGAAAUCCCCGGGCUUAACCUGGGAACUGCAUCUGAUACUGUUAAGCUAGAGUAGGUGAGAGGGAAGUAGAAUUCCAGGUGUAGCGGUGAAAUGCGUAGAGAUCUGGAGGAAUACCGAUGGCGAAGGCAGCUUCCUGGCAUCAUACUGACACUGAGGCUCGAAAGCGUGGGUAGCAAACAGGAUUAGAUACCCUGGUAGUCCACGCCGUAAACGAUGUCUACUAGUCGUUGGGUCCCUUGAGGACUUAGUGACGCAGCUAACGCAAUAA